ensembl:lncRNA
GUGAUCACCUGUCUAUCUGUGUAUGAAUUAAUACUAAACCGUGGAUGAAAGUGACAGAAGAUCAGAAACUUCAGAGAAUCCAGAAAUGAACAAUACAGCCUGGACAACCAAUGAGGUGUGCAAGUGGCUUGAACAAGAGAUUAUAUAGGUGAUUACAGAUGGUGAUGGUGUAAUGCAUUAUCAUUGUCUGUGUUGUCCUAUUAAACCAGAACACGGAUGGAUUAAAGUUACAGACACCUCACUGAUGAGGUAUCCAGCAUAUCAGCCCAUAUCAGCACCAUGUUGGAGAUACAGUACAUCUAUAUAACAGGAGAUGAUUAGAAAGAAGACUGACCUUUGACCAAAUACCUCAUCAUUACAAGAUUUGACUUGGAUUUUAGUAUCAAAGUGUAUGGCAAAAACCUAUUACACAGCAGUGUAUGUCAACAACAUUGAAACUUCUGAAGGUUAUCUUCUACACAACAGGC